GCAGCGGUAGCUCAGCGGCAGAGCGUAGGAUUGCAGUUCACUCACAACAGCAUCCCAUCCCGAGGUCCCCGGUUCAAUCCCGGGUCGCUGCU